CGGGGCAGGGUGGAAUUCCCGACCGGCAGUGAAAGCCUGCGAGCCGCAUAUGCGGUUGACUCGGUGAAAUUCCGAGGCCGACGGUAAAAGUCCGGAUGGGAG
rnacentral:ncRNA from 2 species